UACAGAGGGUGCGAGCGUUAAUCGGAAUUACUGGGCGUAAAGGGUGCGCAGGCGGAUAUGUAAGUCAGGGGUGAAAUCUUUGGGCUUAACCCGAAAAUUGCCAUUGAUACUAUAUAUCUUGAAUGCUGUGGAGGUAAGCGGAAUAUGUCAUGUAGCGGUGAAAUGCUUAGACAUGACAUAGAACACCUAUUGCGAAGGCAGCUUACUACGCAGAUAUUGACGCUCAUGCACGAAAGCGUGGGGAUCAAACAGG
rnacentral:rRNA from 1 species